CGGACGGGUGAGUAAUGUAUAGUUAAUCUGCCCUUUAGAGGGGGAUAACAGUUGGAAACGACUGCUAAUACCCCAUACUCCUUUUAUCUUAAUGAUAAUUGGGAGACGUUUUUUCGCUAAAGGAUGAGACUAUAUGGUAUCAGGUAGUUGGUAGGGUAAGAGCCUACCAAGCCAAUGACGCCUAGCUGGUCUGAGAGGAUGAUCAGCCACACUGGAACUGAGACACGGUCCAG
rnacentral:rRNA from 1 species